rnacentral:lncRNA from 1 species
AUCUUUUUUCCAAAUAUAGGUCGUCUUACAAUGGGCAGAGUGGUAGAUAUAACAGAGUGGCGACACUUCCAUUGGACUCCGUUGUAGCGCCUACUUCCGGGGUAUGGAGCCUCGAAUAGUUCCAAACAACCAUUUUACGGCGUAGGAGACCGUUCAUUUCCAUUGCUGGCCGCCGAGUAACUUCUGAGUUGCCUUAUUAGGUCCUCCACAGUCGCCCCAUCAGUCCCUGGCGGUCUGGUCCCUGGCGGUCUGGUCCCUGGCGGUCUGGUCCCUGGAGCAGCUGGCCCUGGAGCAGAUGGUCCUGGCAAAGUUAUAACUUCACUGUUGACCCCUGACUGACUGGCCCUCGGCACACACAUCCCUGGAUCACCUGCC